rnacentral:rRNA from 1 species
GACGAACGCUGGCGGCGUGCUUAACACAUGCAAGUCGAACGGAAAGGCCCUGCUUUUGUGGGGUGCUCGAGUGGCGAACGGGUGAGUAACACGUGAGUAACCUGCCCUUGACUUUGGGAUAACUUCAGGAAACUGGGGCUAAUACCGGAUAGGAGCUCCUGCUGCAUGGUGGGGGUUGGAAAGUUUCGGCGGUUGGGGAUGGACUCGCGGGUUAUCAGCUUGUUGGUGGGGUAGUGGCCUACCAAGGCUUUGACGGGUAGCCGACCUGAGCGGGUGAACGGCCACAUUGGGACUGAGAGACGGCCCAGACGCAUACGGGAGGCAGCAGUGGGGAAUAUUGCACAAUGGGCGGAAGCCUGAUGCAGCAACGCCGCGGGCGGGAAGACGGCCUUCGGGUUGUAAACCGCUUUCGCCUGUGACGAAGCGUGAGUGACGGUAAUGGGUAAAGAAGCACCGGCUAACUACGUG